AACGUAGGGGGCAAGCGUUGUCCGGAAUUACUGGGCGUAAAGGGCGCGUAGGCGGUUAUCCAAGUCAGGGGUGAAAACUCUGGGCUCAACUCAGAGCCUGCCUCUGAAACUGGGUGACUUGAGGGCAGGAGAGGGGAGUGGAAUUCCCAGUGUAGCGGUGAAAUGCGUAGAUAUUGGGAGGAACACCAGUGGCGAAGGCGACUCUCUGGCCUGUUACUGACGCUGAGGCGCGAAAGCGUGGGGAG
rnacentral:rRNA from 1 species